rnacentral:rRNA from 1 species
CGGCGUGGAUGAGGCAUGCAAGUCGAACGAAGUGUAGCAAUACACUUAGUGGCGGAAGGGUUAGUAAUACAUGGGUAACUUACCAUUAACUUGGGAAUAACGGUUGGAAACGAUCGCUAAUACCGAAUGUGGUGAUAACAAGGCAUCUUGAAAUCAUUAAAGUGGGGGAUCGCAAGACCUCGCGGUUAAAGAGAGGCCCAUGGGAUAUCAGCUAGUUGGUAGGGUAAAGGCCUACCAAGGCUAAGACGUCUAGGCGGAUUGAGAGAUUGACCGCCAACACUGGGACUGA